AUUUAGGGUGUUUCUUCUGCUUGAUUAUGGAGCUGACAGUCGUCUUUCCUUUACUAUCAUUGAACCAGGAUGUAAAAGUAUUUAGAAUAAUUUCUUCUCUGUGAGGAAGACUUUACUCAAAGAUUAAUGAUUCUAAAGUGCUUUGAAAUCCAAGAUGAAAGGCUGCAGAGACACAGCAUUUGUAGAACUGAGCUCGUGGAAUCCAAACUGUUUUACAGCAGCAGAUUCACAGCUAAAUGUGUCAUCUCUGCUUGCUUGUGUAUUGAUUUCAGUCCUGAUAAACAAAUAAAAUCCCCCCUCUCUCAUGACAGGAGGUUUGGUGCAAAAUUCAAGGUUUUGGACAAACCUUCACAUGAAAAUAGCUUAUUAAAAGCUCCAAUCCUAAUGUCUUGAAAAGCUGCAUGAGUCAGAAAAUACAGGAGCAGAGGCUAAAAUCAAAUAUGUCAUAAUGUAAUAAAAUAAAUGAUCUUGC